rnacentral:lncRNA from 1 species
GAUGUCACUGUGAUAAGUGCACAGAGAAAGGACACGGUUUUGCAAUGUGUGGCAGCGAGGCCCUGACCCGUGGGGCACUGUGGGGAGAGUUGAAAGGGGGACACGUGGCCCCAGGAGAGAGCGGGCCGUCUGCUGGGCAUUGCUCAGUCUCUAUGGCCACGAGAAGCAAGGAGGCUGAGGGUCACCCCCAGGACACGGUCACAGUCCCUGGCCAUGUUUCUGGGCCUGAGCCAGUUUUCCAACUGGAACCCACUGUCUGAGGAGGCCUGGUCUGCAGGAGGGGAGACGUCCUGCUCGGCUUUCGUCCCUAGCCUGGGCUCAGAGAACAAGGGGGCCUGGCCCAGGACAGAACCAUGGGGAGCCCCUGGGCUGAGCUGGGAGUUUGCACAGCAGCCCAUGGAUGUCCGCGGAGGCCUCAAGGUCCUUCAUGAGCUGGCUCUGGUCAGUGGACGGGGCACAUGGCCUGGGGGACAUGUGGAGAGGAGUCCAUGGGGUGAUGACCAGUUCUGAGGAAGGAGGCCCAGUGAAUAGAGUGACCUGCUGUCCCAGUGUGCCAAGACUGAAGAAGUGCCUGGGAUAUGGGAAUGUUAGUCCUCAAGCCAAGGAAGUCCUGGCCCGCGCAGCUCGUCCAGCCCGCACAGCCCACGCAGCACACACGGUGCCCGCAUGGUGCCCGUACAGCCCGCACGGUGCCCGCACAGCACACACGGUGCCCGCACAGCCCGCACGGUGCUCGCACAGCACACAAGGUGCCCGCACAGCCCGCACGGUGCCCGCACAGCCCGCACGGUGUCCGCACAGCCCGCAUGGUGCGGGGGUGCCAGGUGUCCUUUCACUGCUGUGCAGUGCCCUGAGGUCACUUGGGAAGCCGCUGCCACUCUGUUUUGUCGUGGCUGACAAACUGUCGCAAGCUUCUGGUGGCGGUGGCCGGUUGCUAAUGAUCGCAGGGAAGAAACACCUCCUCUGAUUUUUUCAAACUCUGCACAGUUAACGUGUUUCCAAUAGAGAACUGAGAAUUACGAUUCAUUCCUAAUGCUUCAUCAGUGUUUAAUAUAUGGAAGAUCUUACUGUUAACCUCCCGCGAGGACGCGCUCAUCUCAGUCGCCUUUUAAGAGGGCUUCUUGAAAGUCAAAAUAAUUCCCACUGGUUAUUUUUAAUGCUCUUAUUGUAUGAAUUGCAUGAAAAUAUUCAGCAGACGAUGUAGG